rnacentral:rRNA from 1 species
AGUGAACGCUGGCGGUAGGCCUAACACAUGCAAGUCGAACGGCAGCACAGUAGGAGCUUGCUCUUACGGGUGGCGAGUGGCGGACGGGUGAGGAAUACAUCGGAAUCUACUUUUUCGUGGGGGAUAACGUAGGGAAACUCACGCUAAUACCGCAUACGACCUACGGGUGAAAGCAGGGGAUCUUCGGACCUUGCGCGAUUGAAUGAGCCGAUGUCGGAUUAGCUAGUUGGCGGGGUAAAGGCCCACCAAGGCGACGAUCCGUAGCUGGUCUGAGAGGAUGAUCAGCCACACUGGAACUGAGACACGGUCCAGACUCCUACGGGAGGCAGCAGUGGGGAAUAUUGGACAAUGGGCGCAAGCCUGAUCCAGCCAUACCGCGUGGGUGAAGAAGGCCUUCGGGUUGUAAAGCCCUUUUGUUGGGAAAGAAAAGCAGCAGGUUAAUACCCCGCUGUUCUGACGGUACCCAAAGAAUAAGCACCGGCUAACUUCGUG